GCGCCUGCUUAAUAAAAGCCAGGUCUGCUUCAUGUGUGGUAUGUUGUCAGCUGUUCAUAUGCACCAGCUUCAGCUACUUCGUACUUUGAUCGAUCAGCAAGAGAAAUACGUUCAAAGAACGAAUGCAUUUUUCCUCACCUUUGAGCUUUUUGGAGGACCUUUGCUCCCUCUUGUGCCUGGACGGGGGCGCGCUCCACUCCGCCAUUACGACGCGUACCCUCUUCACCUUGACCUUGCGAUCGCCGGGUGAGGGGGACGCUAGCGGGCUGUUCUCAGAGCCUGAGGGGGAUACGGGCUGGCUGCUGGGACACCCGGUGUCAUCUGUGCAAUUUGUGCACCAGACAGCAUGAAAAACAGGCACAUCAGUCCAAAGGCAAAGUUCUUCCUGCUAUCUGUCAGAUAACGUAUCCAAUAACGACCAUGUUCGGAAAUCAAACGCUAUUAUAAGACAUUGUCUUGAAUCAGUUCAUGGUAGUAGGCUACAGCAUACCUUUGUUUAAAAAAGAAACAAAGAACACCAAGGUAAUUUUUUCUGGAAUGGAAGAACUAAUGGUGGUCGUGGUUGAAGUUAAACAUUUAUUCUGUUAUCAGGAUGUUAAAUUACAUAUUAAAACCUCUUUCGUAAAAGCAGUAGUUUCCGUAACUCAAUUUUAGCAACGUUAUACUGCAGUAAAUAAUGUUUAAAACUGCUUGAAGUGUAAAAAUACAUGAAGAAUUUUAUGAAGAAUUUCAAA